GACGAACGCUGGCGGCGUGCUUAACACAUGCAAGUCGAACGGAAAGGCCCUGCUUUUGUGGGGUGCUCGAGUGGCGAACGGGUGAGUAACAAGUGAGUAACCUGCCCUUGACUUUGGGAUAACUUCAGGAAACUGGGGCUAAUACCGGAUAGGAGCUCCUGCUGCAUGGUGGGGGUUGGAAAGUUUCGGCGGUUGGGGAUGGACUCGCGGCUUAUCAGCUUGUUGGUGGGGUAGUGGCUUACCAAGGCUUUGACGGGUAGCCGGCCUGAGAGGGUGACCGGCCACAUUGGGACAGAGAUACGGCCCAGACUCCUACGGGAGGCAGCAGUGGGGAAGAUAGCACAAUGGGCGGAAGCCUGAUGCAGCAACGCCGCGUGCGGGAUGACGGCCUUCGGGUUGUAAGCCGCUUUCGCCUGUGACGAAGCGUGAGUGACGGUAAUGGGUAAAGAAGCACCGGCUAACUACGUG
rnacentral:rRNA from 1 species